UACGGGGGGGGCAAGCGUUGUUCGGAAUUACUGGGCGUAAAGGGCUCGUAGGUGGCCAACUAAGUCAGACGUGAAAUCCCUCGGCUUAACCGGGGAACUGCGUCUGAUACUGGAUGGCUUGGAUUUGGGAGAGGGAUGCGGAAUUCCAGGUGUAGCGGUGAAAUGCGUAGAUAUCUGGAGGAACACCGGUGGCGAAGGCGGCAUCCUGGACCAAUAUUGACGCUGAGGAGCGAAAGCCAGGGGAGCAAACGGG
rnacentral:rRNA from 1 species